AACGAACGCUGGCGGCAUGCCUAACACAUGCAAGUCGAACGAGACCUUCGGGUCUAGUGGCGCACGGGUGCGUAACGCGUGGGAAUCUGCCCUUGGGUUCGGAAUAACAGUUAGAAAUGACUGCUAAUACCGGAUAAUGUCUUCGGACCAAAGAUUUAUCGCCCAGGGAUGAGCCCGCGUAGGAUUAGCUAGUUGGUGAGGUAAAGGCUCACCAAGGCGACGAUCCUUAGCUGGUCUGAGAGGAUGAUCAGCACACUGGACUGAGACACGG
rnacentral:rRNA from 1 species